GACGAACGCUGGCGGCGUGCCUAAUACAUGCAAGUAGAACGCUGAAGGAGGAGCUUGCUUCUCUGGAUGAGUUGCGAACGGGUGAGUAACGCGUAGGUAACCUGCCUGGUAGCGGGGGAUAACUAUUGGAAACGAUAGCUAAUACCGCAUAAUAGUAGAUGUUGCAUGACAUUUGCUUAAAAGGUGCAAUUGCAUCACUACCAGAUGGACCUGCGUUGUAUUAGCUAGUUGGUGGGGUAACGGCUCACCAAGGCGACGAUACAUGGCCGACCUGAGAGGGUGAUCGGCCACACUGGGACUGAGACACGGCCCAGACUCCUACGGGAGGCAGCAGUAGGGAAUCUUCGGCAAUGGACGGAAGUCUGACCGAGCAACGCCGCGUGAGUGAAGAAGGUUUUCGGAUCGUAAAGCUCUGUUGUAAGAGAAGAACGAGUGUGAGAGUGGAAAGUUCACACUGUGACGGUAUCUUACCAGAAAGGGACGGCUAACUACGUG
rnacentral:rRNA from 1 species